rnacentral:rRNA from 1 species
GCGUAAAGAGCGUGUAGGCGGGUAGUUAAGUCAGAAGUGAAAUCCAAUAGCUCAACUAUUGAACUGCUUUUGAAACUGAUUACCUAGAAUAUGGGAGAGGUAGAUGGAAUUUCUGGUGUAGGGGUAAAAUCCGUAGAGAUCAGAAGGAAUACCGAUUGCGAAGGCGAUCUACUGGAACAUUAUUGACGCUGAGACGCGAAAGCGUGGGGAGCAAACAGGAUUAGAUACCCUGGUAGUCCACGCCCUAAACGAUGUACACUAGUUGUUGUGAGGCUCGACCUUGCAGUAAUGCAGUUAACACAUUAAGUGUACCGCCUGGGGAGUACGGUCGCAAGAUUAAAACUCAAAGGAAUAGACGGGGACCCGCACAAGCGGUGGAGCAUGUGGUUUAAUUCGACGAUACACGAAGAACCUUACCUGGACUUGACAUAGUAAGAACUUUCUAGAGAUAGAUUGGUGUCUGCUUGCAGAAACUUAUAUACAGGUGCUGCACGGCUGUCGUCAGCUCGUGUCGUGAGAUGUUGGGUUAAGUCCCGCAACGAGCGCAACCCUCGUCAUUAGUUGCUAACAGUUCGGCUGAGAACUCUAAUGAGACUGCCUACGCAAGUAGGAGGAAGGUGAGGACGACGUCAAGUCAUCAUGGCCCUUACGUCCAGGGCUACACACGUGCUACAAUGGGGUAUACAAAGAGCCGCAAUACGGUGACGUGGAGCAAAUCUCAAAAAUAUCUCCCAGUUCGGAUUGUAGUCUGCAACUCGACUACAUG